rnacentral:rRNA from 1 species
AGAGAUUGGGCGUCCCUUCGGGGACAGGGUGACAGGUGGUGCGAUGGUUGUCGUCAGCUCGUGUCGUGAGAUGUUGGGUUAAGUCCCGCAACGAGCGCAACCCUCGCCUCUAGUUGCCAGCAUUCGGUUGGGCACUCUAGGGGGACUGCCGGCGACAAGUCGGAGGAAGGUGGGAUGACGUCAAAUCAUCAUGCCCCUUAUGACCUGGGCUACACACGUGCUACAAUGGGCGGUACAAAGGGCUGCGAACCCGCGAGGGGGAGCGAAUCCCAAAAAGCCGCUCUCAGUUCGGAUUGCAGGCUGCAACUCGCCUGCAUGAAGCCGGAAUCGCUAGUAAUCGCGGAUCAGCAUGCCGCGGUGAAUACGUUCCCGGGCCUU